UCUGAUAAGACGCGCGGCGCUGUAGAUCCGGCAGCGGCUGAAAAGGGAACGCGGUGAGGAUGCCCGAAAGGGGCCGAUGCCGUGGCUGCCCCCGCAACUGUGAGCGGAAAGCGCAUCCACAACAUGUCACUGGCCGUGGAGGCCGGGAAGACGUAGAUGCGCCGCGACCCGCGAGCCAGGAGACCUGCCAUCGAACCGAUCAACCA
rnacentral:ncRNA from 2 species